rnacentral:rRNA from 1 species
GUGGUCAAGCUAAUAAGGGCUAACGGUGGAUACCUUGGCACACAGAGGCGAAGAAGGACGUGAUUACCGACGAAAUACUCCGGGGAGUUGGAAGUAGACAGUGAUCCGGAGAUGUCCGAAUGGGGAAACCCCUUGUACAGCCUGUUGAAUAUAUAGACAGGUAUGAGCCAACCCAGCGAACUGAAACAUCUUAGUAGCUGGAGGAAGAGAAAGAAAUUCGAUUCCCCUAGUAGCGGCGAGCGAAGCGGGAACAGCCUAAACCAGUUGUUAAGACAACUGGGGUUGUGGGACAGCGACAUGGAAUCGAUUAACUAGACAAAGCAGCGCGCAUACUGCACCAGAGAGAGUGAUAGUCUCGUAGUCGAAAGUGAAAAGAUACUAGCUGCAUCCCAAGUAGCACGGCUCACGUGGAAUCCCGUGUGAAUCAGCGAGAACCAUCUCGUAAGGCUAAAUACUCCUGUGUGACCGAUAGUGAACAAGUACCGCGAGGGAAAGGUGAAAAGAACCCCACAAGGGGAGUGAAAUAGAACAUGAAACCGUUAGCUUACAAGCAGUGGGAGGACGAUUCAACGUCUGACCGCGUGCCUGUUGAAGAAUGAGCCGGCGAGUUAUAGGCACUGGCAGAUUAAGCCGAAAAUGGCGAAGUCACAGCGAAAGCGAGUCUGAAAAGGGCGCAAAUAUUUUAUUGAAGUCAGUGUUUAUAGACCCGAACCUGGGUGAUCUAACCAUGUCCAGGAUGAAGCUUGGGUAACACCAAGUGGAGGUCCGCACCGACCGAUGUUGAAAAAUCGGCGGAUGAGGUGUGGUUAGCGGUGAAAUGCCAAUCGAACCCAGAGCUAGCUGGUUCUCCCCGAAAUGUGUUUAGGCGCAGCGGUUGUGAUUAUAGUUGGGGGGUAAAGCACUGUUUCGGUGCGGGCUGAGAAAUCGGUACCAAAUCGAGACAAACUCAGAAUACCCAAUGUACACACAGCCAGUGAGACGGUGAGGGAUAAGCUUCAUCGUCGAAAGGGAAACAGCCCAGACCAUCAGCUAAGGCCCCCAAAUUGUCACUGAGUGAUAAAGGAGGUGGGAGUGCAAAGACAACUAGGAGGUUUGCCUAGAAGCAGCCAACCUAUAAUGAGUGCGUAAUAGCUCACUAGUCAAGCGCUCCUGCACCGAAAAUGAAUGGGACUAAGUGACAUGCCGAAGCUGUGGGAUAAAUAAGAACGAUUUAUCGGUAGGGGAGCGUUCCGUCGUAGGUAGAAGCAGUAGCGGCGAGCAGCUGUGGACGAAACGGAAGUGAGAAUGUCGGCUUGAGUAGCGAAAACAUUGGUGAGAAUCCAAUGCCCCGAAACCCUAAGGUUUCCAGAGCAAGGUUCGUCCACUCUGGGUUAGUCAGGUCCUAAGGCGAGGCCGAACGGCGUAGUCGAUGGAUAACGGGUUAAAAUUCCCGUACUGAUUUAGGUUUGUGUAGAGGGACAAAGAAGGCAAUUGUCAGCCAGCGAUUGGUAGUGCUGGUUUAACUGUCCAAGGUGAUGAGAGGUGGAGAAAACACCGCAAGCUAAGGCAGGAGUACGACCCGAUACGUCGGGGAAGUGGCAUAGUCAUACUUUCAAGAAAAGCUCUAAACACGUUAAACCUAAGUCACCUGUACCCGAAACCGACACAGGUAGGGAGGUUGAGAAUACCAAGGGGCGCGAGAUAACUCUCUCUAAGGAACUCGGCAAAAUUGCCCCGUAACUUCGGAAGAAGGGGUGCCAGUGAAAGCUGGUCGCAGUGAAGAGAUCCAGGCGACUGUUUACCAAAAACACAGGUCUCCGCAAAGUCAAAUGACGACGUAUGGGGGCUGACGCCUGCCCAGUGCUGGAAGGUUAAGGAAGUCGGUCAGGGGGCAACCCUAAAGCUGGCAACCGAAGCCCCAGUGAACGGCGGCCGUAACUAUAACGGUCCUAAGGUAGCGAAAUUCCUUGUCGGGUAAGUUCCGACCCGCACGAAAGGCGUAACGAUCUGGAUGGUGUCUCAGAGAGAGACUCGGCGAAAUAGAAUUGUCUGUGAAGAUGCGGACUACCUACACCAGGACAGAAAGACCCUAUGAAGCUUUACUGUAGCCUGUGAUUGACAACUAGCUUUGACUACGCAGUAUAGGUGGGAGGUGAUGAAGUAUUCCUUGUGGGGAAUAUGGAGCCAGUAGUGAGAUACCACUUUGUCAGAGAUGGGAGUCUAACCAGUCACCGUUAUCCGGUGCUGAGACAGUUUCAGGUGGGCAGUUUGACUGGGGCGGUCGCCUCCUAAAAGGUAACGGAGGCGCACAAAGGUUCCCUCAGCACGGUUGGAAAUCGUGCGGCGAGUGUAAAGGCAAUAAGGGAGCUUGACUGCAAGAGUCACAACUCAAGCAGAUAGGAAACUAGGUCUUAGUGAUCCGACGGUUCAGAGUGGAAUGGCCGUCGCUCAACGGAUAAAAGUUACUCUAGGGAUAACAGGCUGAUCUCCGCCAAGAGUUCACAUCGACGCGGAGGUUUGGCACCUCGAUGUCGGCUCAUCGCAACCUGGAGCGGAAGUACGUUCCAAGGGUUGGGCUGUUCGCCCAUUAAAGCGGUACGUGAGCUGGGUUCAGAACGUCGUGAGACAGUUCGGUCCAUAUCCGGUGUAGGCGCAAGAGUAUUGAGAGGAGUCCCCUUUAGUACGAGAGGACCGAGGGGAACGCACCUCUGGUGUACCAGUUAUUCCGCCAGGAGUAAACGCUGGGUAGCCAAGUGCGGAGUGGAUAACUGCUGAAAGCAUCUAAGUAGGAAGCCCACCUCAAGAUGAGUACUCUCAUGGCAUAAGCCAGUAAGGUCACGGGUAGAUUACCCGUACAUAGGCGGUAGGUGGAAGUGCAGUAAUGUAUGCAGCCGAGCCGUGCUAACAGACCGAGGGCUUGACCUC